rnacentral:lncRNA from 1 species
AGCAGGGUUGGGAAUGGGGAUGGAGGUGGGGAGGCUUCAGGAUGCAGGAAUGGGCUGUGAUUGUUCUCAGAGCUCAGGAAUUCAGGUGACUGAGGGUCUUCUGCAGACAGGAGUCAGAUCCAUCAGUCCUGAUUAGUGCAAAUUUUCCUGAAGCUUUUGGGCAUAAUCUGGUAAGCAAUUCAGCAGAUAAACAAGGACAGCUGCCUACAAGUCAACCAUGGUGCACCUCAGCUGACAGUGAGGGAUGCCGUUUCAGAAGACUGACUGUGCUUGAGAUUUUUAUAAAUAAGGACCCCUUUCCUCACUUCAAACUCCCAAAAAUGUCUGAGUUGUGGAAAUGGUUGGAAGUUGAGUCCGUCAGCUGGCAGAGGCCUGGAAGACACCAGCCCUCUCACCAGACCCUAUGCAGAGUUGUGGUUUUCCAGGAAGCAUUAGGGGCCAAGAGCACAGAGCUGUGGCAUGAAGGGAUCCAGGAAAAGGUGGAAGAAACAGCCAGGCAAGAAAGUACAAGUUCAUGUCAGCACUCCAGCGCCCUGCUCACUCCUGCUCAAGUGAGCUGA